rnacentral:rRNA from 1 species
GAUGAACGCUGGCGGCAUGCCUAAUACAUGCAAGUCGAACGAAGAGGGUUAGAAUGAGAGCUUCGGCAGGAUUUCUUUCCAUCUUAGUGGCGGACGGGUGAGUAACGUGUGGGCAACCUGCCCUGUACUGGGGAAUAAUCAUUGGAAACGAUGACUAAUACCGCAUGUGGUCCUCGGAAGGCAUCUUCUGAGGAAGAAAGGAUUUAUUCGGUACAGGAUGGGCCCGCAUCUGAUUAGCUAGUUGGUGAGAUAACAGCCCACCAAGGCGACGAUCAGUAGCCGACCUGAGAGGGUGAUCGACCACAAUGGAACUGAGACACGGUCCAC